UAUAUCCAUUUAUUUUAUUUAUGAUUUUGGAGUUGACUUUUAUGUUAGCAUUCGUCCAGUAUUAUCUCAGAAAAUAUAUCACUUUCAGUAGUAUUGUUUAUCACCUGACGAGGUUCUAUACCAAGAAAACAGCUUGAGAAGCAUAAAAGAACUCCAUGUGAAUGGAUUUGAGUUCGUCCCUGAACAAUUUCAUUGAGCAGCUUGUAAUUUCCUUUUCUUGUAGAGUCAUGUGCAAUUGUGGCUCUUGUGGAUCGAGGAAGCAAACACUUAGUGAAUGGGAAAAACAUACAGGUUGCAGAGCGAAAAGAUGGAAACAUAGUGUGAAAGUGAAAAGUACAAUGCUACCUCUGGAAAAAUGGUUGGCUGAACACAUUCCAUUAGAGGGAGUAUCCCAGUAGUUAGAUCAGCAGCAGGUACUUGCUUUUUUGCAAGAGAAGUAUGAGCCUGUUAAUGCAAAAUGGACAACAAAAAGAUGUGCUGUUUGCAGAUGGGUUGAAGAUUUGGAAGAUAACAAAAUUAUUAUCUGUAACAGG